AGAGGUGGAAGUGCGGUAACGUAUGGAGCUGACUGUCACUAAUAGGUCGAGGGCUUAACCAAGUU
rnacentral:rRNA from 1 species